rnacentral:rRNA from 1 species
CUCUUAUGGGUCUUGCAAUUGCAAUGAGUACAAUUUAAAUCCCUUAACGAGGAACAAUUGGAGGGCAAGUCUGGUGCCAGCAGCCGCGGUAAUUCCAGCUCCAAUAGCGUAUAUUAAAAUUGUUGCAGUUAAAAAGCUCGUAGUUGAACCUUGGGUCUGGUUGGCCGGUCCGCCUCACCGCGUGCACUGGAUCGACCGGGCCUUUCUUUCUGGCAGAACCGCAUGGGCUUCGUUGCUCGUGUUGGGGAACCAGGACUUUUACUUUGAAAAAAUUAGAGUGUUCAAAGCAGGCCUUUGCUCGAAUACAUUAGCAUGGAAUAAUGGAAUAGGACGGCUCUCCUAUUUUGUUGGUUUCUAGGAAAGCCGUAAUGAUUAAUAGGGAUAGUCGGGGGCGUCAGUAUUCAAUUGUCAGAGGUGAAAUUCUUGGAUUUAUUGAAGACUAACUACUGCGAAAGCAUUCGCCAAGGAUGUUUUCAUUAAUCAGUGAACGAAAGUUAGGGGAUCGAAGACGAUCAGAUACCGUUGUAGUUUUAACCAUAAACUAUGUCGACCAGGGAUCGGUGGAUGUUUCUUUUAUGACUCCAUCGGCACCUUAAGAGAAAUCAGAGUGGGAUCUGG